rnacentral:rRNA from 1 species
CAAGUCGAACGCGAAAGCCCCCUUCGGGGGGCAAGUAGAGUGGCGCACGGGUGAGUAACACGUAGGUAAUCUACCUUUGGAUGGGGAAUAACAACCGGAAACGGUUGCUAAUACCGCAUAAUGCAGCGGCACCUAAUGGUGACAGUUGUUAAAGCGGGGGAUCGCAAGACCUCGCGUCUGAAGAGGAGCCUGCGGCAGAUUAGCUAGUUGGUAAGGUAACGGCUUACCAAGGCGAUGAUCUGUAGCCGGCCUGAGAGGGCGGUCGGCCACACUGACACUGACAUACGGGUCAGACUCCUACGGGAGGCAGCAGUCGGGAAUUUUGGGCAAUGGGCGAAAGCCUGACCCAGCAACGCCGCGUGAAGGAUGAAAUCCCUCGGGAUGUAAACUUCGCAAGAACGGGAAGAAUAAGUAAGGGUUAAUAUCCCUUAUGAUGACGGUACUGUUUGUAAGCUCCGGCUAACUCCGUGCCAGCAGCCGCGGUAAUACGGGGGGAGCAAGCGUUGUUCGGAUUUACUGGGCGUAAAGGGCGCGUAGGCGGCCACCGCAAGUCGACUGUGAAAUCUCUGGGCUUAACCCAGAAAGGUCAGCCGAUACUGCGGGGCUGAGUGCAGAAGGGGCAACCGGAAUUCUCGGUGUAGCGGUGAAAUGCGUAGAUAUCGAGAGGAACACCUGCGGCGAAGGCGGGUUGCUGGGCUGACACUGACGCUGAGGCGCGAAAGCUAGGGGAGCGAACGGGAUUAGAUACCCCGGUAGUCCUAGCCUUAAACGAUGAAUGCUUGGUGUCUGGGGUUUUAUAGUCCCCGGGUGCCGUC